rnacentral:rRNA from 1 species
AUUGAACGCUAGCGGGAUGCUUUACACAUGCAAGUCGAACGAGUGGCGGACGUGUGAGUAAUAUAUCGAAAGCGCCCAGUAGCGGGGGAUAACCACUGGAAACUGUAGCUAAUACCGCAUACUAUCGGAUAACCCAUAUGGGAUUAGCUAGUAGGUGAGGUAAGGGCUCACCUAGGCGACGCUCCCUAGCUGGUCUGAGAGGAUGAUCAGCCCCACUGGAACUGAGACACGGCCCAGACUCCUACGGAGGCAGCAGUGGGGAAUAUUGCACAAGGGGCGCAAGCCUGAUGCAGCCAUGCCGCGUGUAUGAAGAAGGCCCUAGGGUUGUAAAGUACUUUCAGUCGGGAGGCGUUACCGACAGAAGAAGCACCGGCUAACUCCGUGCCAGCAGCCGCGGUAAUAC